rnacentral:lncRNA from 1 species
CUUUUAACAUUACAAAGAAGAGGUUUCACAAAGAUUUAUGUUUAAAGGUCCAGUGGUGAGUGGUUGAUCAUGGUGCAUCCUGAGUCAGCAUGAAAGUUUAAGAGCACAGCAUCAUACAUGAUGUUAAUAAUAUAAGAGUUUCCCAGCUGUGCCAUUGGCAUUCAAGACUUUAGUCAGUAAUUUUCUCACCACUUAAAUCUUAUCGACCUGCCCGACAAUGACAUGUACACAGAGGAAACAGCAUCACUCGACACACAGAAUUCUUGACGCACUAUGCUCAGACUUUUAGCAGAGAACCUCAGGUUGUUGCCACCUGAGACAUCAGCAGUAACAAUUAGUAGGCUAGCAAUCUGACAACAACCAACUGUACACCCGCACACACUCGUAGAAAGCUGGUAGACCCCUGACCAUACGCCACCAUGAGGUGCUCUGCUGCAUGCAAAUUUGAAAAUAAUCAGCAAAUGUGCCGUUCCAGCGAUGUUGUGGAAGAUGGUGGCCAGGAUGCAAACAGCCCAAGUAUCCAUGCAGCAAAGAUAACCAUGCUAGAUCUCUAUCGCUGCUAGAAAGCAGUUGUUCUGCAUCUUCUGCCCAUAUGGCUUUCUUGCUCUGCUGUACACAAGUCCUUGACAUAUUAUGGGCUGAUCUCCCAGCGUGCAAGCCAAGCUUCCUGCACAGGCUACGUUGCUGCAGAGCAGGCUCCUCUUCCAAGAAAUCUACUCAAGUCUGAGGUAAUUCUUUGUGCCCAAGCAGAUUUUCAACACCCUCCCGUUCAUGUGGCAUCACCUGUCAGCACAUCACUAACUUGCAAAGACGCAUCCAUAUUGGACCUGUCUCUACUGCAGAAUACUGGUGAUCAUGGCCCAUCUGCUUCCGAUACGUGAUUGAUGUCAGUGUCACACCUCUACGUGACAGCUCUUCCUUUGCUGCCUGGGGACAAUGACAGUGCCUAGGUGGCGAUCACCAGCUGGAUCGUUGCUUGUGCUGUAAGAUUGAAUGGCAUGUUGCAACACCAGGUUCUGCUGUUUGUCGAUGCACACAAGAUUUCCUGUGACCAGGCGCCCGUCGAUGAUGUGCACCUGCCAAGACAUCGGAGCGAAAAAUUGUCAAUUAUACAUAUUCCAUCAUUUAUUGUAGCAUUUUGAUGGGGUGUGCAUGACACUGAAGGCCUGCACGCGAGGUAUGUAUCAGCAUCAGGGGAAUAGUGAUUUCUCACCCGGACUCGUUUGUGCAAGAGUUGUCUGGCUCUGUCAGCACCUGAAUCCGCACUGACGUCCUUCAUACCCAAGAUGUAUGGGUGUGGAAUGC